GACGAACCGUGCGAACGUUAUUCGGAAUCACUGGGCUUAAAGCGCGUGUAGGCGGGAGGGCACGUCCGUCGCUGAAAUCCCCCGGCUCAACCGGGGAACGGGCACGGGUACGACCUUCCUGGAGGGGCGUAGGGGGACCUGGAACUUCCGGUGGAGCGGUGAAAUGCGUUGAGAUCGGAAGGAACGCCCGUGGCGAAAGCGAGGUCCUGGACGCCUACUGACGCUGAGACGCGAAAGCCAGGGGAGCGAACGGG
rnacentral:rRNA from 1 species